GGAGACUUGGGGAUUCUAUUGCAAUUUGCAGGAAUAAUAAAUUGUUCAGGACAUUAUUUUAGAUUUAGAACAAACCAUUGGACAAACACCUAUUCUCAACAUCUAGCUCUGAAUACUCAAAACUGUUGACAAAGAAAUUUUAGGUUCUUUCUCUUAACAAAUAUACCAUCCAAAAUGAAUUAUUGGAGUCCUGGGAAAAAGUGAUUCCAAUACUAUCUAGCUAAAGUUUAUUGGUAACCAUGAAAUUUAACUGAGACACAUAACAAGGGGAUUAUAACAGCAUCUUUACACUGGAAAACAAGGUUGGGGAAAGUAACAAAAAAUUUUCUCUUUAAACGAGGAGGUCACCAAUGGUUAAAGGAUCCCACCAUUACCAUAGCAAUUGUUGGUUGACAAACUGAGCAGUUUUGAAUACAAGACUUGGAUGGUGAUACUGAACCUAUCCUUUCUUCUUUGCUCCAAAAUUCAAUCCUCCUGCCUGGCUAUGCAAACUUCAGGAAGAAAUUCUUGGAACAUUUUCACACUGUUGAUUUUCCCACUUGUCAUAUUCUUGCAGUAGUUGCUGCAGAAGCAAUGUUACGAGCCUAUCCACUAGAGCUUGCAUCAUUAAAUUCCCAGGACCCUCAACAGCAUAUGUUGGCAGUAAAGUAAAUGGUUCUGUAUAAAUCUGCAUACAACAAAUGAUGUUUCAUAUGUAUGAUGUUAAUUGAUCAACAACUGGGUCAAGCAAAUACAUUAGGGAAAAAAGAAAUGCAAAUUCAACAAAUUAAUUUCAUUGAAGCAGAAUAAUAAUAAGCUACAAACAGCUAAUAAAAUAUCUCAGUUAGAAGUUAGAACUGCUGAGAAAUAUAUAUAUUAUUUAUACUGUGCCAUGUUCCCAUUGAGGAGAAAAUAGUUUUCGAGAGCUGAUUUGUAAGCUAGCAAUAUUUUUUCAUAAAAGCUCAAAAAUAUGUUACAGUUAUUAACAGAAAAAUGGUGAUAUACAGAUACAAUUUGUUACAGUUACUUUAAUGACCAAUAACAGAUGUUUAAAACGUUUAAUUACUCAGCAAAAUGGCUUAUAUCCGGUCAUGAUUUUGCCAAAGCAGGAUCCAGGUAAUCUGAAAAACUCCUUGACCAUUUUUUCAAUGAAAUAGCUAGUGUCGAGUCCCUAUCUUUGAUGAUAGAAUCUACUGUGGCAGUAGGCAUCAGGCCAUCAGCCACGGGUCGAAAACGAGUAGUUAGGAAUCAAUUUGAAAAGCAGCCAACUCACAACAGAUGGCACAAAAUUAAUUAUGAAAACAAAGCAUAAAACUUCUUAAAACUAGCAAUGAGCUCUAAGUGGAAUACUAACAACCUCAAGGGUGAGAUUCAACUUCAUGUCAGCCUCUAAAAAGGGUUCAGAAUCAGUUGUGUUCCAUGUCACACGAUUCACCAUGAAAGCUGCAAGUUAAAAACAAAGUACAAAGAAAUUCCAUGCAUUAUUACAACAUAUUGACUGAAAGUAAAUAACCACUGCAUAGUAUGCAUAACUUCAAAAAGCUAUUCUUGGAUACCAAAGAAACCAUGUUGAAUUACCAAAUUAAACCAUUAACUUUACAAUAAAACACCAUCUGCAUUGUUUAUAAUAUUAUCUGAGUAGAACCUUUAAGAUAUCAUAAAAUGGCUUUUUAGUCAUUACAAAUAGAGAGCUAAAUAAAUGAUGCAUCAUUGCGUGAUUAGUCUGUAGGCGCUUGACAUAUCUAAAGCUCAAUGUCAUCAGAAAUUAUUAUAAGUACUAAGCAAAAUAAAAAUUUUGUUGCCUUAUACUAUUCUACCAGCUAUCCAGGUCUAGUAGAAGUUGUGAGAUCCAUACUGCAAGUACCUGAAAAAUGGUCAUUUUGGCGCUCCAUGAUCUCUGAACCUUCAAACUGCAUAUUAAAUCAUCAACUAACAUUCAAGAAACUAAACAACUAAACAUGUUUAAGAUAGUAUCUUGAAGAGACAAAAAAGCUUGUAAAAAUCUAUAUUCAUAUCUUUUCAUGCAUGUAAUGAGAUACUUCUGUGAAAUCACUUCUUUUCAUAUGUAUAAUAUUAUAUCAUAUAUUCAUUUCCACAGCAUGGGCCACAACAUAAAGCCCAUACUGAUCAUUUCUUAAGUGGGCCACAUAAAUGUAUUAAAUCAGUAAUUAAGUGAAAUAAUGAAAAUUCCUAUUACUACCUUCUUCUUGGUCCUGCACCAACUCAAAAAGCAAGGGAUAAGAUAAGCUCACCUUGCAAGAGAGCAUCUCAACUGUACAAUCUUCUUCUGUUGGGAUUACUCGCAAGUCCAGCACAGGAGCUGCUUCAAAGUUCAGCAGUUGAAGCUUUGGCAAAAAGCACCUGUAUGUGUUGGCAUCAAUGGAUUCAAAACUUUGCAGCGUCUUAGUGUUUAACAUAGCUUGAAUUCCAAAGGGGUGACUAAGAAAUUCACUGAUACGAUAGCCAUCAUCGCAAAUUGGCAGCAGAAUUCUUUCCCUUUUCGCAGCAGUCAAAUUUGCUUUCUUUGAGUUUUGCACUGACAUAUUCGCUUUGCAUACCCCGACUCUUUCAAUCCUCUUCCUAGAACCCAAUUCAAAUUGGAAGAAGACCAAAGAGUCAGAGAGGAGCAAACCAAAGGCAGGCAUGUUAAAGAAAGAAAGAAAGAUAGGGCAAAGACAGACCUGAUAGUGGAGAGGAAUGGGAAGGCCAAUGAUGGGAAUACAGAGAAGACUUCUUGCCCUCUUGUUAAUCUCCAUGUGUUACUGCUCGUCACUAUCAUCGUCAUCAUCAAAACCAAACCAUAAAUGCAGUUGAUAAGCAUCAAAAAAUAAACCCAUUACAGCAUCUGAAACAGAGUAAAAUGCCUCAGAAAGAAAAGGGAAGAGUGAACCUUAGGUGUUUUCAAGAAGUUUACAGUUUGAGAGGACAUAAUUUUACUUUGUCUAAUCAUUUUCUAUCCAGCCAAACAAUAUAUAUCUUGUCUAAAAUAAUAUUUUUUGUUAAUAAAUACCAAAAAAAAAAUAUUACUCUCCUAUGACAGCAUAACCAGAAUAUUUU
rnacentral:misc_RNA from 1 species